rnacentral:rRNA from 1 species
AACGAACGCUGGCGGCAGGCUUAACACAUGCAAGUCGAGCGCCCCGCAAGGGGAGCGGCAGACGGGUGAGUAACGCGUGGGAAUCUACCCAUCUCUACGGAACAACUCCGGGAAACUAGAGCUAAUACCGUAUACGUCCUUCGGGAGAAAGAUUUAUCGGAGAUGGAUGAGCCCGCGUUGGAUUAGCUAGUUGGUGGGGUAAUGGCCUGCCAAGGCGACGAUCCAUAGCUGGUCUGAGAGGAUGAUCAGCCACACUGGGACUGAAACACGGCCCAGACUCCUACGGGAGGCAGCAGUGGGGAAUAUUGGACAAUGGGCGAAAGCCUGAUCCAGCCAUGCCGCGUGAGUGAUGAAGGCCCUAGGGUUGUAAAGCUCUUUCACCGGUGAAGAUAAUGACGGUAACCGGAGAAGAAGCCCCGGCUAACUUCGUGCCAGCAGCCGCCGUAAUAC